rnacentral:rRNA from 1 species
UACAGAGGAUGCAAGCGUUGUCCGGAAUUACUGGGCGUAAAGCGCGUGUAGGCGGAUGAGCAAGUCUGCUGUGAAAGCUCCUGGCUUAACCGGGAGUGGUCGGUGGAAACUGCUCGUCUGGAGGACGGUAGAGGUAGGUAGAAUUCCCGGUGUAGUGGUGAAAUGCGUAGAGAUCGGGAGGAAUACCUGUGGCGAAGGCGGCCUACUGGGCCGGACCUGACGCUGAGACGCGAAGGCGUGGGGAGCGAACGGG